rnacentral:tRNA from 1 species
AGUCUUAUAGUCAUAUUAUGAUAUUAAAUUGCAAAUUUAAAGGUAAAAUUUAAAUUUUUAAGGCUU